UUGAACGCUGGCGGAAUGCUUUACACAUGCAAGUCGAGCGGCAGCGCGGGGCAACCUGGCGGCGAGCGGCGAACGGGUGAGUAACAUAUCGGAACGUACCCUAUCGUGGGGGAUAACACAUCGAAAGAUGUGCUAAUACCGCAUACGACCUGAGGGUGAAAGCGGGGGAUCGCAAGACCUCGCGCGAUUGGAGUGGCCGAUGUCAGAUUAGCUAGUUGGUGGGGUAAAGGCCUACCAAGGCGACGAUCUGUAGCGGGUCUGAGAGGAUGAUCCGCCACACUGGGACUGAGACACGGCCCAGACUCCUACGGGAGGCAGCAGUGGGGAAUUUUGGACAAUGGGCGAAAGCCUGAUCCAGCCAUGCCGCGUGCGGGAAGAAGGCCUUCGGGUUGUAAACCGCUUUCAGCCGGAAAGAAAUCGCCACUUCUAAUACGAGUGGUGGAUGACGGUACCGGAAGAAGAAGCACCGGCUAACUACGU
rnacentral:rRNA from 1 species